UCUUAUUGAUCCAGAACUUUG
rnacentral:piRNA from 1 species